AGUACAGGAUGGACCCGCGUCUGAUUAGCUAGUUGGUAAGGUAACGGCUUACCAAGGCGACGAUCAGUAGCCGACCUGAGAGGGUGAUCGGCCACAUUGGAACUGAGACACGGUCCAAACUCCUACGGGAGGCAGCAGUGGGGAAUAUUGCACAAUGGGCGAAAGCCUGAUGCAGCAACGCCGCGUGAGUGAUGAAGGCCUUCGGGUCGUAAAACUCUGUCCUCAAGGAAGAUAAUGACGGUACUUGAGGAGGAAGCCCCGGCUAACUACGUGCCAGCAGCCGCGGUAAUACGUAGGGGGCUAGCGUUAUCCGGAUUUACUGGGCGUAAAGGGUGCGUAGGCGGUCUUUCAAGUCAGGAGUGAAAGGCUACGGCUCAACCGUAGUAAGCUCUUGAAACUGGGAGACUUGAGUGCAGGAGAGGAGAGUGGAAUUCCUAGUGUAGCGGUGAAAUGCGUAGAUAUUAGGAGGAACACCAGUUGCGAAGGCGGCUCUCUGGACUGUAACUGACGCUGAGGCACGAAAGCGUGGGGAGCAAACAGGAUUAGAUACCCUGGUAGUCCACGCUGUAAACG
rnacentral:rRNA from 1 species